rnacentral:rRNA from 1 species
AGUGAACGCUGGCGGUAGGCCUAACACAUGCAAGUCGAACGGCAGCACAGUAAGAGCUUGCUCUUACGGGUGGCGAGUGGCGGACGGGUGAGGAAUACAUCGGAAUCUACUUUUUCGUGGGGGAUAACGUAGGGAAACUUACGCUAAUACCGCAUACGACCUACGGGCGAAAGCAGGGGAUCUUCGGACCUUGCGCGAUUGAAUGAGCCGAUGUCGGAUUAGCUAGUUGGCGGGGUAAAGGCCCACCAAGGCGACGAUCCGUAGCUGGUCUGAGAGGAUGAUCAGCCACACUGGAACUGAGACACGGUCCAGACUCCUACGGGAGGCAGCAGUGGGGAAUAUUGGACAAUGGGCGCAAGCCUGAUCCAGCCAUACCGCGUGGGUGAAGAAGGCCUUCGGGUUGUAAAGCCCUUUUGUUGGGAAAGAAAAGCAGCAGGUUAAUACCCCGCUGUUCUGACGGUACCCAAAGAAUAAGCACCGGCUAACUUCGCG